GGAGCCGUAGCGAAAGCGAGUCUUAAUAGGGCGAUUGUCACUGCUUAUGGACCCGAACCUGGGUGAUCUAUCCAUGACCAGGAUGAAGCUUGGAUAAAACUAAGCAGAGGUCCGAGAUGACUAAUGUUGAAGAAUCAGCGGAUGAGUUGUGGUUAGGGGUGAAAUGCCACUCAAACCCACAGCUAGAUGGUUCUCCCCGAAAUGCGUUNNNNNNNNNCAGUUGACUGGACAUCUAGGGGUACAACACUGUUUCGGUGCGGGCUACGCGAGCGGUAACAAAUCGAGGCAAACAUUGAAUACUAGAUAUGACCCAAAAAUAACAGGGGUCAAGGUCGGUUAGUGACACGAUGGGGGAUAAGCUUCAUCGUCGAGAGGGAAACAACCUGGAUCACCAGCUAAGACCACUAAAUGACCGCUCAGUUAUAAAGGAGGUGAGGGUACAAAGACACCCAGGAGGUUUGCCUAGAAGCAGAAACCCUUUAAAGAGUGCUGAUAGCUCACUGAUCGAGCGCCCUUGCGCUGAAGAUCAACGGGGCUAAGCAAUCUACCAAAGUUGUGGGAUGUCAAAAUGCAUUGGUAGGGGAGCAUUCCACCUUAGAGGGAAGCAACCAUGAAAGUGGGGGUCGACGAAGCGGAAGCGAGAAUGUCGGCUUGAGUAACGAAAACAUUGGUGAGAAUCCAAUGCCCCGAAAACCCAA
rnacentral:ncRNA from 1 species